rnacentral:rRNA from 1 species
ACGAACCGUGCGAACGUUGUUCGGAAUCACUGGGCUUAAAGGGCGCGUAGGCGGCAGAUCAAGUCCGGGGUGAAAUCCUCCAGCUCAACUGGAGAAGUGCCUUGGAUACUGAUGUGCUCGAGGGAGGUAGGGGUCCGCGGAACUUCUGGUGGAGCGGUGAAAUGCGUUGAUAUCAGAAGGAACGCCGGUGGCGAAAGCGGCGGACUGGAUCUCUUCUGACGCUGAGGCGCGAAGGCUAGGGGAGCAAACGGGA